UACGUAGGGGGCUAGCGUUGUUCGGAAUCAUUGGGCGUAAAGAGCGUGUAGGCGGCCCGGUAAGUCCGCUGUGAAAGUCGGGGGCUCAACCCUCGAAUGCCGGUGGAUACUGUCGGGCUAGAGUGCGGAAGAGGCGAGUGGAAUUCCUGGUGUAGCGGUGAAAUGCGCAGAUAUCAGGAGGAACACCGAUUGCGAAGGCAGCUCGCUGGGACGUUACUGACGCUGAGGCGCGAAAGCUAGGGGAGCAAACAGG
rnacentral:rRNA from 1 species